UCUGGUUGAUCCUGGCGGAGGCCACUGCUAUCGGAGUUCGAUUAAGCCAUGCGAGUCGAGAGGUGCAAGACCUCGGCAUACUGCUCAGUAACACGUGGACAACCUACCCUAUGGAGGGGGAUAACCCCGGGAAACUGGGGAUAAUACCCCAUAGAUUAUGGAUGCUGGAAUGCUCUGUAGUUGAAAGGUCCGCCGCCAUAGGAUGGGUCUGCGGCCGAUUAGGUUGUUGUUGGGGUAACGGCCCAACAAGCCUGUAAUCGGUACGGGUUGUGGGAGCAAGAGCCCGGAGAUGGAUUCUGAGACACGAAUCCAGGCCCUACGGGGCGCAGCAGGCGCGAAAACUUUACAAUGCGGGAAACCGUGAUAAGGGAACUCCGAGUGCCCGUUAAAUCGGGCUGUCCACCAGUUUAAAUAACUGGUGAAGAAAGGGCCGGGCAAGACCGGUGCCAGCCGCCGCGGUAAUACCGGCGGCUCGAGUGGUGGCCACUAUUACUGGGCUUAAAGCGUUCGUAGCUGGUCUGUUAAGUCUCUGGGGAAAUCUACCGGCUUAACCGGUAGGCGUCUCAGGGAUACUGGCAGACUAGGGACCGGGAGAGGUGAGGGGUACUCCAGGGGUAGGAGUGAAAUCCUGUAAUCCUUGGGGGACCACCUGUGGCGAAGGCGCCUCACCAGAACGGCUCCGACAGUGAGGGACGAAAGCUGGGGGAGCAAACCGGAUUAGAUACCCGGGUAGUCCCAGCUGUAAACGAUGCGCGUUAGGUGUAUCGGUGACCACGAGUCACCGAGGUGCCGAAGAGAAAUCGUGAAACGUGCCGCCUGGGAAGUACGGUCGCAAGGCUGAAACUUAAAGGAAUUGGCGGGGGAGCACCACAACGGGUGGAGCCUGCGGUUUAAUCGGACUCAACGCCGGGAAACUCACCGGACAAGACAGCUGAAUGAUAGUCGGGCUGAAGACUCUACUUGACUAGCUGAGAGGAGGUGCAUGGCCGUCGUCAGUUCGUACUGUGAAGCAUCCUGUUAAGUCAGGCAACGAGCGAGACCCA
rnacentral:rRNA from 1 species